AAAAGUCGUAACAAGGCAUCCGUAGGUGAACCUGCGGAAGGAUCAUUAUCGUACANCNGNGGUGCGAAGGCUGUCGCUGACCUUCAAAGGUCGUGACGCCCGAGUGCUCUCACAUCCAUCUUACCCCCUUGUGCACUGCCGCGUGGGCCCCCAUUUUUGCAAAGGGGGGCUUGCGUUUUAACAUAAAACUUGAUAUGGUGUAGAAUGUCUUUUCUUUUGCGGUUACACGCAAUCAAUACAACUUUCAACAACGGAUCUCUUGGCUCUCGCAUCGAUGAAGAACGCAGCGAAAUGCGAUACGUAAUGUGAAUUGCAGAAUUCAGUGAAUCAUCGAAUCUUUGAACGCACCUUGCGCCCCUUGGCAUUCCGAGGGGCACACCCGUUUGAGUGUCGUGAAAUCAUCAAAACCCUUUUCUUUGAUCCUCUCUUGGUCGAGAAAAGGGAUUUUUGGACUUGGAGGUUUCAUGCUAGCUUUCAAGCUUUUGAAAGCGAGCUCCUCUCAAAUGAAUUAGUGGGGUCCGCUUUGCCGAUCCUUGACGUGAUAAAGAUGUUUCUACGUUUUGGAUUCGGCACUGUCUCUUUGGACGUCUGCUUCUAACCGUCCCCCUGGACGAUGAUGGUGCUCCGGUCACCGCCCAUCUUAUAUUGGCGAGAGGCUGGACCCACAAGAAAAAACCUUGACCUCAAAUCGGGUGAGACUACCCGCUGAACUUAAGCAUAUCAAU
rnacentral:rRNA from 1 species